rnacentral:rRNA from 1 species
CGGAAUAGCGCAUACUAUACAUGCAGUCGUACGCUGUGUGCGUAACUGAUUUGAAGAGCUUGCUCAGAUAUGACGAUGGACAUUGCAGAGAGUGCCGAACGGGUGAGUAACAAGUGGGAAACCUACCUCUUAUCAGGGGAUAACAUUUGGAAACAGAUGCUAAUACCGUAUAACAAUGACAACCGCAUGGUUGUUAUUUAAAAGAUGGUUCUGCUAUCACUAAGAGAUGGUCCCGCGGUGCAUUAGCUAGUUGGUAAGGUAAAGGCUUACCAAGGCGAUGAUGCAUAGCCAAGUUGACAGACUGAUCGGCCACAAUGGGACUGAGACACGGCCCAUACUCCUACGGGAGGCAGCACUAAGGAAUCUUCCACAAUGGGCGAAAGCCUGAUGGAGCAACGCCGCGUGUGUGAUGAAGGGUUUCGGCUCGUAAAACACUGUUGUAACAGAAGAAUGACAUUGAGAGUAACUGUUCAAUGUGUGACGGUAUCUUACCAGAAAGGAACGGCUAAAUACGUGCCACCAUCCGCGGUAAUACGUAUGUUCCAAGCGUUAUCCGGAUUUAAUGGGCGUAGAGCGAGCGCAGACUGGUUAUUUAAGUCUGAAGUGAAAGCCCUCAGCUCAACUGAGUGAAUUGCUAUGAGAAACUGAAUGACUUGAGUGCAGUAGAGGAAAGUGGAACUCCAUGUGUAGCGGUGAAAUGCGUAGAUAUAUGUAAGAUCACCAGUGGCGAGAGGCGGCUUUCUGGACUGUAACUGACGUUGAUGGCAUCGCAAGUGUGGGUCAGCACCACUAAGACUAUGAUACGCCUGGAUAGUCCGGCAGCCGUACACUUACUGCAGUGCUCAGGAUGCUUUGAGGGAUUAUCCGCUCCUUCAAGCUGCCGCAGCUGAACGCAUUAGAGUCACUACCUCCCUGGGAGAGUACGACCGCCACGCUUGAACUUCAUAAGGCAUUUGACUGUGACUCGCAACAAGCGGGUGGGAGCAUGUAGCAUGACUCGAGUCACCGCGAGAUCCUCACCAGUCUUGGACAUCUCUUGGACACUCAUAAAUGGAAUGCUCGUCCGGUACAUGCUUGACCGUGAUGCAUGGAUGACGUCACCUCUAUCUCGAACCGUAGGCUAGUCGCACUAGCUAGCUAUGACUAAUUG